rnacentral:rRNA from 1 species
UCGAACGAUGAAGCCCUUCGGGGUGGAUUAGUGGCGAACGGGUGAGUAACACGUGGGCAAUCUGCCCUUCACUCUGGGACAAGCCCUGGAAACGGGGUCUAAUACCGGAUAACACUCUGUCCCGCAUGGGACGGGGUUGAAAGCUCCGGCGGUGAAGGAUGAGCCCGCGGCCUAUCAGCUUGUUGGUGGGGUAAUGGCCUACCAAGGCGACGACGGGUAGCCGGCCUGAGAGGGCGACCGGCCACACUGGGACUGAGACACGGCCCAGACUCCUACGGGAGGCAGCAGUGGGGAAUAUUGCACAAUGGGCGAAAGCCUGAUGCAGCGACGCCGCGUGAGGGAUGACGGCCUUCGGGUUGUAAACCUCUUUCAGCAGGGAAGAAGCGAAAGUGACGGUACCUGCAGAAGAAGCGCCGGCUAACUACGUGCCAGCAGCCGCGGUAAUACGUAGGGCGCAAGCGUUGUCCGGAAUUAUUGGGCGUAAAGAGCUCGUAGGCGGCUUGUCACGUCGGAUGUGAAAGCCCGGGGCUUAACCCCGGGUCUGCAUUCGAUACGGGCUAGCUAGAGUGUGGUAGGGGAGAUCGGAAUUCCUGGUGUAGCGGUGAAAUGCGCAGAUAUCAGGAGGAACACCGGUGGCGAAGGCGGAUCUCUGGGCCAUUACUGACGCUGAGGAGCGAAAGCGUGGGGAGCGAACAGGAUUAGAUACCCUGGUAGUCCACGCCGUAAACGUUGGGAACUAGGUGUUGGCGACAUUCCACGUCGUCGGUGCCG